GACGAACGCUGGCGGCGUGGAUUAGGCAUGCAAGUCGAACGGUAUCAUCCUUUCGGGGGUGAGAGAGUGGCGAACUGGUGAGUAACACGUAGGUUAUCUACCCUCAAGACGGGGACAACCCAGGGAAACUUGGGCUAAUACCGGAUGUGAGCAACUUUUUAGUUGUUUGAAAGGUGGCGUAAGCUGUCGCUUGGGGAUGAGCCUGCGUCCUAUUAGUUAGUUGGUGAGGUAACGGCUCACCUAGGCAAUGAUAGGUAGGCGGCCUUAACGGGUGGUCGCCCACACUGGGAUUGAGAUACGGCCCAGACUCCUACGGGAGGCAGCAGUCGAGAAUAGUCUACAAUGGUCGGAAGACUGAUAGUGCGACGCCGCGUGAACGAUGAAUCCCUUCGGGGUGUAAAGUUCUUUUAUAUGUGAGCAGUGCUUCUUAUAUUAACAGUAUGGGGAGAGAGAUAUUAGCAUAUGAAUAAGCAACGGCUAAACUCCGUGCCAGCAGGCCGCGUAAACACG
rnacentral:rRNA from 1 species